rnacentral:rRNA from 1 species
GACGAACGCUGGCGGCGUGCUUAACACAUGCAAGUCGAGCGGUAAGGCCCUUUCGGGGGUACACGAGCGGCGAACGGGUGAGUAACACGUGGGUGACCUGCCUCUAGCUCUGGGAUAAGCCUGGGAAGCUGGGUCUAAUACCGGAUAUGACCUCGCGGUGCAUGUUGCGGGGUGGAAAGCCUUGUGCGGCUAGGGAUGGGCCCGCGGCCUAUCAGCUUGUUGGUGGGGUGANGGCCUACCAAGGCGACGACGGGUAGCCGGCCUGAGAGGGCGACCGGCCACACUGGGACUGAGACACGGCCCAGACUCCUACGGGAGGCAGCAGUGGGGAAUCUUGCGCAAUGGGCGAAAGCCUGACGCAGCGACGCCGCGUGAGGGAUGGACGGCCU